rnacentral:rRNA from 1 species
GAUGAACGCUAGCGGGAGGCCUAACACAUGCAAGCCGAGCGGUAGAGUUUCUUCGGAAACUUGAGAGCGGCGCACGGGUGCGUAACACGUGUGCAACCUACCUUUAUCUGGGGGAUAGCCUUUCGAAAGGAAGAUUAAUACCCCAUAAUAUAAUGAUUGGCAUCAAUUAUUAUUGAAAACUCCGGUGGAUAGAGAUGGGCACGCGCAAGAUUAGAUAGUUGGUGAGGUAACGGCUCACCAAGUCAAUGAUCUUUAGGGGUCCUGAGAGGGAGAUCCCCCACACUGGUACUGAGCCACGGACCAGACUCCUACGGGAGGCAGCAGUGAGGAAUAUUGGACAAUGGGUGAGAGCCUGAUCCAGCCAUCCCGCGUGAAGGAUGACGGUCCUAUGGAUUGUAAACUUCUUUUGUACAGGGAUAAACCUACCCUCGUGAGGGUAGCUGAAGGUACUGUACGAAUAAGCACCGGCUAACUCCGUG